GGGGAGCCUCCUAGUUAAAGGAGGAAUCGUAGUAAUCCUAUCCUAGGGUAUUUGUUCUGAAACCUAUGAACAGGAUCUUGCUCACUCUAAGAUAUCAAAGAGCGAGACUUACCAAGAUACUACUAAUAGAUCACAGAUUUACCAUGAACUAAAAUCUAGAUCUUCCAAGACCAAGGCUCAAGUUUGAGACCUUCAUAGCCAUAAGUCUCCUAAGGUACAAGAUAUAAAAUAUAGUUCUAUUGAACCA
rnacentral:lncRNA from 1 species